GAUUUCCUUCGGGACUGAUUAUUUUGUGACUGAGUGGCGGACGGGUGAGUAACGCGUGGGUAACCUGCCUUGUACAGGGGGAUAACAGUUGGAAACGGCUGCUAAUACCGCAUAAGCGCACAGCAUCGCAUGAUGCAGUGUGAAAAACUCCGGUGGUAUAAGAUGGACCCGCGUUGGAUUAGCUAGUUGGUGAGGUAACGGCCCACCAAGGCGACGAUCCAUAGCCGACCUGAGAGGGUGACCGGCCACAUUGGGACUGAGACACGGCCCAAACUCCUACGGGAGGCAGCAGUGGGGAAUAUUGCACAAUGGGCGAAAGCCUGAUGCAGCGACGCCGCGUGAGCGAAGAAGUAUUUCGGUAUGUAAAGCUCUAUCAGCAGGGAAGAUAAUGACGGUACCUGACUAAGAAGCACCGGCUAAAUACGUGCCAGCAGCCGCGGUAAUACGUAUGGUGCAAGCGUUAUCCGGAUUUACUGGGUGUAAAGGGAGCGCAGGCGGUGCGGCAAGUCUGAUGUGAAAGCCCGGGGCUCAACCCCGGUACUGCAUUGGAAACUGUCGUACUAGAGUGUCGGAGGGGUAAGCGGAAUUCCUAGUGUAGCGGUGAAAUGCGUAGAUAUUAGGAGGAACACCAGUGGCGAAGGCG
rnacentral:rRNA from 1 species